AAAAAAGAGAAAAGAAAAGAAAGGAAAAGAAGAAAAAAAAAAGAAAACAAAAACAGACUCGAUGUUCAACGCUGGUAAAAUUGGAAUAAACGCGCGAGCUGACGAACUCGAAUCGUUUGCGCGUGAUUUCGAAACGGGUUCUUGUCUAUCUUAAUCGAUAUUCAGCGGUCUCUCGCGUGUGCAUGCAACAGCAGCUGCAGUAGCAGUAGCAGCAGUAGCAGCAGCAGCAGCAGCAGCAGCAACGGUAGCUUGCCAGUAGGUUAAAACGGUGCACGAUUUUGCAAUAACCGGUCACGUGCACAUUCCACCGGCGGAGCUGUUCUCUCGUCGAUUUCUCGUUGGUGUGUUAUCGUUUGGACAAAGCAGAAGCUCGUCUACGCGUGCGUGCAUGUGUAUGCGUGAUACGAGAGAGGAAGAUAUCGUAGGAUAAUACUCUGAAUAUUUGGAGCGAAACGAAACCGUGCCGCAGAUGUCGAGGUAGAUCUACCUUGAAAAGAAAGAAGCGACUGUAAUUAAACCGCACGUAAAUGCGUAGAGCCAAGAAAAAAUAAAAAAAAAAAAAAAAUCAUAGCAAAUAAAAUUUCAAUUGAAGAAAAUAUGGCCGAUUUAAAUACGAACGUUUAUAAUAUUCUACUUUUAUGAUGACUUUUUUAACCAUUAACAUAACAAAAAAAAAAAAUAAUCUGCGAUACUACGUAAUCGUUUAUUAAAAAUAAUAAUUGAUACUUUAGUAUACACACAGAUGCGUAAUCCGUUUUCAAGCGAACAAUAACACAUAACCAUUCGUACGUGAUUUUGUAAUUCAUUUCAAUAUUAAUAUGAACGUAAAUAUUGAUUGCAAUGUGUCUUUAUAUGCGGUACGUAUUCUGACGUAUAAUAAACGCUCGUGUAAAAGCAGAUAAUAAUAAAUGAAUUUACGAAUACAAUUAUACACAUAUCGUAACUGAUGUUAUCAUAAUAUAGACAUAACUCGUAUGUAUCAAAGAAUAUAGUUACUUUGAGUAUCUCAAUAGAUAAUAUUUCUUUUUGAUUUAUUAAUAAUUACAUUUUUCAUAAUAUCUCCAGCAACUCGUAUGAAAACGCUCUAAAUGUUUAUGAAAAAUUCGUAAGAUACGUAAAAAGGAAAUGACAAGAGUAAGAGAAAAAGUUUGGGCUGGACUAGAGUAUAAAUACUUGAGCGACAGAAAGCGACUACUCGUGUUCUUUCAGGGCCAAAGAAGGAGCUUUCUAAAUUCGCCUUGUCAAGAUUCUUUACCUCCUGCCAGAUUCUCCACGCAAGCUUUUCAAUGAACCUUAAAACGCUUGCCCCAAUUUCUCGUUGAAUGAAAGACCGUACAAAAAUGACCUACCUGCUUUUUUGCCUUUAUUUUUCUUCGCUUCUCACUUCGUUCAAUCUAUGUACAUAUAUACGUGAAACAAUCAUGGUGAGAGUUAAGUAAUACAAAUGGAAAGAAAAGUGAUACAAAUCUUUGGAGAAAGCUAAUAUCUAAACUCUAAUAUAAACUAUCCUUAAUACUUUUGCAUUGUUAUAGUUAUCUGUAUAAUUUAAUCUAUGAUAUUAUUUUUAUAUUUUAUUCUUAGUUAAUCGUUAGUUAUCCCAAUGAUAACUGAAGAGUGCAAAUAGUCAAAGGAUGAUUCAAAAAGAGUCUAUAACCGAUCGGAAAUCGAAGAUCCUUCUUCCGAGUUUGUUAAAAUUUUCUGAUUUGUCGAGGCAAACGAAUAAGAAGCAAGCUUUUCCUGGAUCUUACGCAACGAAAUUUCCGGUAUAAACGAAAGGACGCGAAAUACAUAUACAGGUAUAUCUGCUUUAUCGAAGGAGAGCGAGGGGUAGAGAAAAGGGGUUACUCGGAAAUCCUAUAGAAUCGGCAGAGUUUUCCGGUAUAAACUCCGGUCGAACUCGAUCGGACGAAAAUUUCCUCGUUCUUCUUUUCUCGAGUAGAGGAGGUUCCCACGAUCCGAGGGAUACGAAUCCUCCCGACCAUAUUUCAAUCCCACGUGCCGGCGGGCGGAAAAUUCGUUUCUUGGAAGUUGAAGAAAGCGUACAAUGAUUUGUCUGCAGACAUCGAGAAAAGCCGCUAUUAACUGAAUGCCAAUUUGCUCGCGGAACGAAGGAUCCAUGUAUUUUUAUAAAAGGAAAAAAAAAAAAAAAAGAUCGUUAUAUUUAAUAGACUUGAAAUAAUAAAUAAAAAUAAAAUCAUUCGAAUGAUUCGAUAUAUUUUAAUUUUAGACAUCCAAAUUAUUUGUAUUUUUAAAUAUUCGACUAUCGUAAAAGUUUCUUGUUACUAUUAGCUCUACUACGCAUAUAUUUACUAUUUUAUAUCUCCAAUAUGAUUUGCAAAUAGUCCAGUGAUUUUUAUACUAUUUUGUACGGUCUUUUUUUGUCAGCUCAGCGAACUCUUGAAAUAGGUUGAAAUCAAAUUUUUGAAACGUUCCCGAGAGUCUUUCUCAGGAAAUCGUAUGUAUACCAGGAGAACGACUAGGGUCGAGAGGUCCUUCCCAUCAUCCUUCCUUCGGUUUCGUCCUUGCGGCCCAUUUACUCCUCGAGAGAUGAUCCGUUCUGGACUUAGUGGUGCGAUACACAUGACUGAUACGGGUGUUGCAGAUGGCCAUUAAGGCGUAAUUGAGAAUCGAUAGUCGAUCCUCCAACGUUCUCAGAAUCGAUCCAACCCUGAUUUUAAUAAGCUUCCUCUACCCUCGAUAUCUUAUUUUUCAUUUAUGUAUGCAACCGCGUUCUGCCUUUUUCAGACAAGCAAUUUUAGUAAACUCUUCCAUCAGCGAUGUCGAAUAUGUAUUAACUUUGAUAGAAAUAUUAUCAAAUAGCUAAGAAAAAAUUUUAACUUUCUAUAAAUUCACUUACACGAAUCUAAUAUUAUUUACUGUAAACAAAUUGUAACUAUUAGUAAUAAAGUAAACAUACUUAUUUAUUAAUGUUUACAAACUUAUUAUCUAAUAAUUUAGUUAUUAAUCGU